ensembl:snRNA U4 U4 spliceosomal RNA
AGCUUUGUGCAGUGGCAGUAUUGUACCCAAUGAGGUUUAUCCGAGGUGCAAUUAUUGCUAAUUAAAAUUAUUAGAUAUAAAAUAAAUCUGAUAACAUGUCAAAAUUAAUAUUUAGAAAAAUAAACAUUUAU